GUGGGGAAUUUUGGGCAAUGGGCGAAAGCCUGAUCCAGCCAUGCCGCGUGCAGGAUGAAGGCCUUCGGGUUGUAAACUGCUUUUGUACGGAACGAAAAGACUCCUUCUAAUAAAGGGGGUCCAUGACGGUACCGUAAGAAUAAGCACCGGCUAACUACGUGCCAGCAGCCGCGGUAAUACGUAGGGUGCAAGCGUUAAUCGGAAUUACUGGGCGUAAAGCGUGCGCAGGCGGUUAUAUAAGACAGAUGUGAAAUCCCCGGGCUCAACCUGGGAACUGCAUUUGUGACUGUAUAGCUAGAGUACGGUAGAGGGGGAUGGAAUUCCGCGUGUAGCAGUGAAAUGCGUAGAUAUGCGGAGGAACACCGAUGGCGAAGGCAAUCCCCUGGACCUGUACUGACGCUCAUGCACGAAAGCGUGGGGAGCAAACAGGAUUAGAAACCCUGGUAGUCC
rnacentral:rRNA from 1 species